UCUUGGAGAGUUUGAUCCUGGCUCAGGACGAACGCUGGCGGCGUGCUUAACACAUGCAAGUCGAACGGAGAGACGUGGAAGCUUGCUUCUAUGAAUCUUAGUGGCGAACGGGUGAGUAACGCGUAAUCAACCUGCCCUUCAGAGGGGGAUAACAACGGGAAACCGUUGCUAAUACCGCGUACGA
rnacentral:rRNA from 1 species